CUGUAGCACAUUCAAUAAUACUAAACUACAUCAGACUAAUACUAUACUACACUGGAAAACUCACAAGAACGUUUAAGGUUGAGCCAGAGACAACAGAGGGCAGGGAAAUGAUUCUGCCCAAAAACACUACUGAUCCAGACGAACCUCCUGGACUGAUGGACAGCGUUACAGGCCGUCAUGUACCGCUGAUAUCCCUCCAGGACUCUGAUCCAAAAGCAUCCUCAUCUCUCCUGCACCCUUAUCCCUGCCCUCCAUCUGGGGGAAAAGAAAGACACCCAAUGGUUCACCAACCAGAAGAAAAUACAGAGAAAAGGAGGACAGGGAUGGGAGAGCUCAAGCGGAAAUAAGGAUGUGAUCGGAUCAGAGUCCGGCAGGGAUGCUGGUGCUACAUGGUCCAUCAAUUAGCCAGUUACCUGACCAGAGGAGAACAUAUAUCUUCAAAUGACCAAGAGAAGAAAAUGUUCAAAGUUAUGUUAACACCUUUUACGAUUAUAACAUGUAUGCUAAUUGUUUUAAACUCUUUUCAAUCCAUAAUAGUGAUAAAUAGUAAAGUAAAUUAUAACAAUAUUAACAGUUUUUGGUAUUUUGAUAGAAAAAUUAAUAUGACUAUAGAAUGUGAAAUGCUAAAUGUUUUAAACUUUUUUAAACCCAUAAUCUUUAGUGAUCUAAAUUAUAAAAAUAUUUACAGUUUUAAUGAAAAAGAAACAGAAUUUAUAGCAAGGUAUUUUGAUAGAAAAGUACAUUCUGAUGAUACAAAUUUAAAUAAACAAAUUGCAUAUGCAUAUUUAACAAAGAAAGAUGGUUCUGAACCAAUUAAAAUUGGACCUUUUGACCCUGAUGGGAAGCAUAGUGAAGAUUUUAUUAUUGAAGAAAUUAAUAAGAUAAAAAAAAAUGAGAUGAAAAAUUAUUCAGCAAUUUGGAUUUACACAGUAAAUAGUCCUUGUAUAGCAAGAAAAGAUUAUAAUCCCUGUAUGGACAAUUUAAGUAGGUUAUCAUGCAAAUAAAGUAAGGACUAUGGAAUUAAAAUGUACAUUGUCUUCAGUAAAAAUUAUGUUUUUAUCAAAGACAUUUCUAGUAUUAUUGGAAAAAGUGAACAACUGAAAAAACUUUGGAUGAAAAUUAUUCAAUAUUAUAAUUCAGAAGAAGUGAAGUUUUCUGUUAGAAAUAAAAAAAAUAACAACAAAAAAAUCCCCAAAGAAACAAGAAACAUUUUAUCUCAAAUUUUUGCUGAGUUGUCAAAAAUGGGAGAAAAGACUUUAGAAGAGUGGACUCAGAUAGUCCUGAGAAAAGUUGAGGAGAGCACUGUUAAUCCUGAUUUAAUUGACACUGUUAUAGAGGUGUUGACUUUAGAAUUAGGUGAUAAAAUCUCUAUUAAUGAAAUUAUUAAUGGACAGGUUGUUAAUUUCUACUUAAACCAGCUGCAGGGUAUUAAGCACUACCCUGUGUUUGUCCCAUUAGCUUAUAUUAGCACUAAUACUACUACUACUACUACUACUACUACUACUACUACUACUACUACUACUACUGCUGCU